AUUACAAACUCAUGAAGCAGGAAAGGAAAGCUUGGAUUUUUUUCCAAGGCUGUUAGGGAGGUUGAGAGGCUUAAUAGAUAAUUCUGGACUGAGGUUAUUUUAUACAAUGGAUAUAAGGAAAUAUGAUGCUGGGGUGAUUGAGGCUGGCCUCUGGGUGAGCCUCUUCCAUACCAUCCCUCCAGGGAUGCCUGAGUUCCAUUCUGAGGGUCACUGCACUUUGGAGUGCCUGGAAGAGGCUCUGGAAGCCGAAAAGCCAAGUGGAAUUCAUGUGUUUGCUGUUCUUCUCCAUGCUCACCUGGCUGGCAGAGGCAUCAGGCUUCGUCAUUUUCGAAAAGGGAAGGAAAUGAAAUUACUUGCCUAUGAUGAUGAUUUUGACUUCAAUUUCCAGGAGUUUCAGUAUCUAAAGGAAGAAGAAACAAUCUUACCAGGAGAUAACCUAAUUACUGAAUGUCGCUACAACACGAAAGAUAGAGCUGAGAUGACUUGGGGAGGACUAAGCACCAGGAGUGAAAUGUGUCUCUCAUACCUUCUUUAUUACCCAAGAAUUAAUCUUACUCGGUGUGCAAGU
rnacentral:sRNA from 1 species